UGAAUCUGGGGAUCUUGUUAUAGAGCAGAUUCUGAUUCACUAGGUCUAAGACAGAGCUCAAGAUUCUGCAUUUCUAACAAGCUCUCAAGUUAUGCUGA
rnacentral:pre_miRNA from 1 species